AGACAGUCUUUUACACAAGACCCAGGGAGACAGAGUUUCUUUGCUAUCGACGAGUUUUUCAGCUUCGUAUUUAUAUUCGAACGCGAAGGUCGAGUCAACGAGAUCUGGAAAUCUAACCAGUAUAAAUAAGUAAUGCGAAUAGUGUCACGCAGUGGAAAUGCAACGACGAUAAAGCACGUGUUACCACGUCAUUGAAAAGUUGUAAAAAUUUUCGCUAAUAUUAUUAUCGCGGUAUUAUCGUGAUUCAGUAUUCGAAACUUCGUCGUCGAUAUACUUCGCGAAUUUGCUCGCAAUAAAUUACGUUGCAUGAGCAACUUUUGUCUCGAAUCUACCGUGUCAAUUGCAGUACUAACAUUCUAGUAGAUUCAGCAAAACGUUAGAAACGAAGUCGAAUCUUUCAUCGUUCUCAAGAUGAGACUCCUGUGGAUUGUACUGACGAUAGCAUUCGUCUUCUUUUUAUCCUUGCACAUCGCAGAUACAGUAACACCGAAUAUAUCGGACGCAGAAAAGAAGUUUGUGCCAUUCCAGAGCAACAACAAAAGCAUUCAAACCGGAUCCUUCAUCAACGUCCCGAUUAAUUGUCCACCGGACAGAGUGAAAAUUGGGAAUCGUUGUAGAGCUAUCUUUUAAGAUUCUUCUUUCCUGAAUGACGCGUCGGUAAGGAAGUGCAUGCAAUACGAAUGGAUUACCUAACGAGCAAAACGGCAAUUCAAGCGAAAAAGUCAAAAAUUUCUAAAUUAAAAUAGAAAUAUAAGAAGAACCAAGUAAAAAAAACAUUGAUACGAUGCAGAUAUAGACUCGGCCUCGAAAGAUUGGAAUUAUCAAUUUAUGCGAGAUUAAGAGGAAGGAAACCGCUUUAUCGCUUGUUCGUAAUUCGAUUAGAAUUUCCAUAAAUAAAUCGAAACGUUAAAAGCUAUGCAGAACGACAUUUUUAUAUUAUUUUAUAUCAAGCGUAUAUCUCAAUUAUAUUAAAUCAAUCAUUUAUAAAUAUAUAAAUCAUCGAAUAUAUAAACUUGUAAUAUAUAAAUCAUUCGCGUCAAUAGGACAUUGGAAUCUGACUUAACAUAUAGAGAUAAAUAAUCUGCACAAGGUAAAACACCUUUCACGUGAAUUCCAAUUUCCUGUAUACAACAAUUUGUAAAAUAUGUAUUUACAUACAAAUUACGAACUAGAAUACGUUUUGUAAUUUACUUAUAAAAUUUAAUCUAAUUAUUAUAGAUAUAUGCUUAAACAUCAAUAAAGAACAACCUAUUAGAAAUAAUUUUAGGCUCGAAAUGUCAGAAUUCAUUCCUUUGUUAAAUUACCAAAUGCGAACAAACUCAUGAAUAUGCAUAUGAGUAACACAACUAUGACUGUCUAAAAAAUUUGCUUACUACGUACCUACGAGUAAUUAAUUUAUGGUAUCGUUAAACUAUCAUGCGUAAUUAUCAAGUGGAAACCGCAAUGUGCGUAAUCAGGAUAUGAAUUGUAACCGCAAAUUAGUCUGAAUAAAACGAAAAAGAGAAGGGGAAUUACACAGAAA
rnacentral:lncRNA from 1 species